rnacentral:rRNA from 1 species
GACGAACGCUGGCGGCGUGGAUUAGGCAUGCAAGUCGAACGGUAUCAUCCUUUCGGGGGUGAGAGAGUGGCGAACUGGUGAGUAACACGUAGGUUAUCUACCCUCAAGACGGGGACAACCCAGGGAAACUUGGGCUAAUACCGGAUGUGAGCAACUUUUAGUUGUUUGAAGGUGGCGUAAGCUGUCGCUUGGGGAUGAGCCUGCGUCCUAUUAGUUAGUUGGUGAGGUAACGGCUCACCUAGGCAAUGAUAGGUAGGCGGCCUUAACGGGUGGUCGCCCACACUGGGAUUGAGAUACGGCCCAGACUCCUACGGGAGGCAGCAGUCGAGAAUAGUCUACAAUGGUCGGAAGACUGAUAGUGCGACGCCGCGUGAACGAUGAAUCCCUUCGGGGUGUAAAGUUCUUUUAUAUGUGAGCAGUGCUUCUUAUAUUAACAGUAUGGGGAGAGAGAUAUUAGCAUAUGAAUAAGCAACGGCUAACUCCGUGCCAGCAGCCGACGGU